CCGGAGCUCGCCGCCGCCGCGGACGCCGCGGGCUCGUCAUGGCGUCACCUGAAAGCCACUUUGGAGGGCGGAGUUUUCAGGGGAAGGGAGGAAGAGGAUGAGAAAAGGAAGAGGAGGAGAGGAGGCUUGGCAGCUCAGAAAUGAACCACAUCAUAUCUGAUAUUUCAUUAGCCACGCCAAGACACAAGGCCAUGCUGAAGUUCAAGG